rnacentral:rRNA from 1 species
AUUGCACGCUGGCGGCAGUCCUAACACAUGCAAGUAGAACGAGGGGAGGACGGGUGAGUAAGGUAUGGGAAACUGCCCGAUGGAGGGGGGUAACUAAGGGAAACGGUAGCUAAUAACGCAUACCAUCGGAGGUGGCCAGAUGGGAUUAGCUAGUAGGGGGGGUAAGGGUUCACCUAGGCGACGAUCACUAGAUGGUCUGAGAGGAUGACCAGCAACACUGGAACUGAGAAACGGUGCAGACUCCUACGGGAGGUAUCAGUGGGGAAUAUUGCCCAAUGGGCGCAAGCCGAAUGCACCCAUCCCGCGUGUAUGACGAAGGCCUUCGGGUUGUAAAGUACUUUCAGCGGGGAGGCGUUACCCGCAGAAGAAGCACCGUCUAACUCCGUGCCAGCAGCCGCGGUAAUAC